rnacentral:lncRNA from 1 species
GACCUUCCGCUCCUGGAGGCGUCCGCUGGCUCCCACCACCCGCCCCCAGCGAGCUUGCAGGAGGCGCUGAGCAGAGGCGCGGACACCGAGGCGGCGAGAGUGCUUGGUGAACUGAUGGUUGCCCCUCUGGGUCGAUGAGGAUCUGCAGGUUCACCAGGGUGACUCCUUGGAUCAAUUUGAGGCGUAUGCAGUUUGCUUGAUGCCCAAGUGCUCCCUACGCUGUUUGGGGCCCAUCCAGUCCCACGUAGGAGGCAUCAGAGGGUGGCAUGGGCUGAAGGAGCAGACUGUUGCUGUGUUACAAGGACAUCAGGAUGGCAAAAGUCUGGCAAUGAGGGGUCUUUUUUUUUUUUUUUGCAAGAGAAGCAGAAUGGUUUUCAUCCACAUGUGUCAUAAACUUUGUACAUUUUGUUGUCUCUGCCUUUGUGUGAAAGUCAGCCAAGGAGCUUUCCUGAUCUUCAGUGUGAGCCUCACUUUUGGUGCAGGCAACAUUGUAUACAAGGACAUAUUAGAUUUCCAGGAAUUUCACAUAAUUUCUGGAAAUCACAACAUAUAUUUAUAAAGACAUAACAUAAUGUAAUGUAAUAUAUCAAGAAUCUAAUUCAUUUAAUAUCUCCCUCUUUGUAGAGAGAAUAAAUUCCUUGAGAAGUCUCAGAG